rnacentral:rRNA from 1 species
GACAGAGGGUGCAAACGUUGUUCGGAUUUACUGGGCGUAAAGCGCGUGUAGGCGGGCCACCGCGUCGGCUGCUGAAAUCCCCCGGCUCAACCGGGGAACGGGCACCGAUACGGGUGGCCUGGAGGGGGGUAGGGGGGCCUGGAACGUUCCGGUGGAGCGGUGAAAUGCGUUGAGAUCGGAAGGAACGCCCGUGGCGAAAGCGAGGCCCUGGACCCUUACUGACGCUGAGACGCGAAAGCCAGGGGAGCGAACGGG